AGGGGCAGCAUGGUCUUAGCUUGCUAAGGCCGAUGGCGACCGGCGCACGGGUGAGUAACACGUAUCCAACCUGCCGUCUACUCUUGGACAGCCUUCUGAAAGGAAGAUUAGUACAAGAUGGCAUCAUGAGUCCGCAUGUUCACAUGAUUAAAGGUAUUCCGGUAGACGAUGGGGAUGCGUUCCAUUAGAUAGUAGGCGGGGUAACGGCCCACCUAGUCUUCGAUGGAUAGGGGUUCUGAGAGGAAGGUCCCCCACAUUGGAACUGAGACACGGUCCAAACUCCUACGGGAGGCAGCAGUGAGGAAUAUUGGUCAAUGGGCGAGAGCCUGAACCAGCCAAGUAGCGUGAAGGAUGACUGCCCUAUGGGUUGUAAACUUCUUUUAUAAAGGAAUAAAGUCGGGUAUGUAUACCCGUUUGCAUGUACUUUAUGAAUAAGGAUCGGCUAACUCCGUGCCAGCAGCCGCGGUAAUACGGAGGAUCCGAGCGUUAUCCGGAUUUAUUGGGUUUAAAGGGAGCGUAGAUGGAUGUUUAAGUCAGUUGUGAAAGUUUGCGGCUCAACCGUAAAAUUGCAGUUGAUACUGGAUAUCUUGAGUGCAGUUGAGGCAGGCGGAAUUCGUGGUGUAGCGGUGAAAUGCUUAGAUAUCACGAAGAACUCCGAUUGCGAAGGCAGC
rnacentral:rRNA from 1 species